ACUACCAUCUAAAUCCACAAGCCAAAGCUUGCUCUUUAUAAGUGCAACAACUCAUUUAUCUAGGUUCUCCAAUUCAGUUGGUUGCUUCUAUUUGCUUGUUCCUUGGAAUAUGGCUGCUUUUGUUUGCUUGCUCUUUGUGCAUUCACCAUCGAUCAAAUUUGCUAACUUUACCUUACACAACCAAAACAACUUUAUUCAUACGGAGUCGAACCUGAAAGUAAGAACCAAACAGUUAAAAUAGUCGGAGGCAUAAUCUGCAAAUAAUAAGGUUUCAUUACACAGCUAAAUGAUUAAAAUUGAAUAAUUUGUCAGGCUGUUAAUAGAUUGGCUAAAUUAAAGAAAUUACAACAAAAUUGAAUACUCACAGGGCUCAUUAAUAGAUUGUGCUUAAGAACUCUACAGUAAAAAAAAUAAGCCACAACAUGGGAAACCAUCUCCUUCUCAGGGUUAGCGACAAAGAAAGUUGGAAAAGAUGAAAUGUGCAAAAUUAAACAUUGACAAAUUUAAACGAAAUUGUACACUUAAAGGGAUCGUUAAUUGGGACAUCUAAUAAUGGAGAUUACUUCCUCCAUCAAAGUUUAAGAAAAUACCAACGCCAAAAAUGUGUAGUACAAAUUAAACAUUGAUUUCGUACACUUACAAGGCUUGUUAAUUGGGAGAAUUAUCUAAGAACGAAGAUUACUUCCUUCAUCAAAGUUUAAGAAAAUGCCAACACCAAAAAUGUGUAGUACAAAAUUAAACAUUGACAAAUUUCAACGAAAUUAAACAAUUACCAGGUUCGUUAAUUAGCAGAACCAUCUAAGAACGGAGAUUACUUCCUCCUUCAAAGUUUAAGAAAAUGCCUACGCCAAAAAUAUGUAGUACAAAAUCAAACAUUGACAAAUUUCAAUCAAAUUAAACGCAUACCGGGCUCGUUAAUUGGGAGAACCAUCUAAGAACAGAGAUUACUUCCUCC
rnacentral:lncRNA from 1 species